AUUGAACGCUGGCGGCAGGCCUAACACAUGCAAGUCGAGCGGAUGAACGGAGCUUGCUCCUUGAUUCCGCUGGCGACGGGCGGGUAAUUCCUAAGAAUCUGCCUGUUAUCUGGGGAUAACGUCCGGACGCGGGCGCUCAUACCGUAUUCGUCCAGAGGUAGAACGUGGGGGAUCUUCGGACCUCCCGCUAUCAGAUGAGCCUAUGUCGUAUUAGCUAGUUGGUGGGGUAAAGGCCUACCAAGGCGACGAUCCGUAGCUGGUCUGAGAGGAUGAUCAGUCACACUGGAACUGAGACACGGUCCAGACUCCUACGGGAGGCAGCAGUGGGGAAUAUUGGACAAUGGGCGAAAGCCUGAUCCAGCCAUGCCGCGUGUGUGAAGAAGGUCUUCGGAUUGUAAAGCACUUUUAGUGGGGAGGAAGAGCAGUAAGUUAAUACCUUGCUGUUUUGACGGUACCAAAAGAAUAAGCACCGGCUAACUUCGUG
rnacentral:rRNA from 1 species